rnacentral:tmRNA from 1 species
GGGGGCGUACUGGUUUCGACCUGAGAGAUGCACCAGAGGCGGCAUGCCGAGGAUGGUUCGUUGGCCUCGUAAAAAAUCGGACCAAAAGUUAACUGCUAACAACGAAUUAGCUCUCGCGGCCUAAUGUGCCACGACGUUCACCGGUGGACACCUGCUACGCCGGAUGAACGCAACAGCAGGUUAGGUUGGUAGUGGCGCCUGCGCGCUACUGGCCGAAAAAAUUUACAUGCGGGCUAGGCAGGAUGGGCUCGGUGUCAGGCCGCUACCAUCUAGCAGAAAACUCUCUCCUGACUAAGCAUGUAGUCGCGGCUGGUAAGUUUGUCAGGGACGCGGGUUCAAUUCCCGCCGCCUCCACCA